UAUAUUUAAGUGGGAGAAAAUGACAAAGUAACAUAGUCUAGUAGAAAUGAUAUUAUACUUAGGAGGAAGUGGACCUAGGUUCAACUUCUCUUUGUUGCAUAAUAUUGAUUUUUUUAUGUAUUAAAGUUUUUAAUCUUAAAAAAAUAAAAAACUAAAAGCCACGUAGAUUUAAUAAAAAAAAUUAAAAACGUCAACUUGACAAUCCACAUCAUUAAAGGAAA
rnacentral:lncRNA from 1 species